rnacentral:rRNA from 1 species
UGAGGAAUAUUGCCCAAUGGACGCAAGUCUGAGGCAGCAACGCCGCGUGGGCGAUGAAGGCCUUCGGGUUGUAAAGCCCUUUUCUGGGGGAAGAGGAAGGACGGUACCUCAGGAAUAAGUCACGGCUAACUACGCGCCAGCAGCCGCGGUAAUACGUAGGUGGCAAGCGUUAUCCGGAUUCACUGGGCGUAAAGCGCGUGCAGGCGGUUUCGUAAGUCGGACGUGAAAGCUCCUGGCUUAACUGGGAGAGGUCGUUCGAUACUGCGGGGCUUGAGGUCGGGAGAGGGACGUGGAAUUCCCGGUGUAGUGGUGGAGUGCGUAGAUAUCGGGAGGAACACCAGUGGCGAAGGCGACGUCCUGGCCCGCACCUGACGCUGAGACGCGAAAGCGUGGGAAGCGAACGG